CCUACGGGCGGCUGCAGUGGGGAAUAUUGGACAAUGGGCGAAAGCCUGAUCCAGCCAUGCCGCGUGUGUGAAGAAGGCCUUCGGGUUGUAAAGCACUUUCAGUGGGGAAGAAAGCCUUGGGGCUAAUACCCUCGAGGAAGGACAUCACCCACAGAAGAAGCACCGGCUAACUCCGUGCCAGCAGCCGCGGUAAUACGGAGGGUGCGAGCGUUAAUCGGAAUUACUGAGCGUAAAGCGCGCGUAGGCGGUCUGAUAAGCCGGUUGUGAAAGCCCCGGGCUCAACCUGGGAACGGCAUCCGGAACUGUCAGGCUAGAGUGCAGGAGAGGAAGGUAGAAUUCCCGGUGUAGCGGUGAAAUGCGUAGAGAUCGGGAGGAAUACCAGUGGCGAAGGCGGCCUUCUGGACUGACACUGACGCUGAGGUGCGAAAGCGUGGGUAGCAAACAGGAUUAGAUACCCUUGUAGUC
rnacentral:rRNA from 1 species